rnacentral:tRNA from 1 species
AAGAAAGUGGCAGAGUGGUGAUGCAGUUGGCUUGAAACCAGCUAACGGGGGUUCGACUCCUCUCUUUCUCG